AUGCAAGUCGAGCGCGGGAAGCAAGCAGAACCCCUUCGGGGGUGACGCAUGUGGAACGAGCGGCGGACGGGUGAGUAACACGUGGGCAACCUGCCUGUAAGACUGGGAUAACUCCGGGAAACCGGGGCUAAUACCGGAUAAUACGUUUCUUGCAUAAGGAGACGUUAAAAGGCGGCGCAAGCUGUCACUUACAGAUGGGCCCGCGGCGCAUUAGCUAGUUGGUGGGGUAAAAGCCUACCAAGGCGACGAUGCGUAGCCGACCUGAGAGGGUGAUCGGCCACACUGGGACUGAGACACGGCCCAGACUCCUACGGGAGGCAGCAGUAGGGAAUCUUCCGCAAUGGACGAAAGUCUGACGGAGCAACGCCGCGUGAGUGAAGAAGGUUUUCGGAUCGUAAAACUCUGUUGUUAGGGAAGAACAAGUGCCGUUCAAAUAGGGCGGCACCUUGACGGUACCUAACCAGAAAGCCCCGGCUAACUACGUGCCAGCAGCCGCGGUAAUACGUAGGGGGCAAGCGUUGUCCGGAAUUAUUGGGCGUAAAGCGCGCGCAGGCGGUCUUUUAAGUCUGAUGUGAAAGCCCACGGCUUAACCGUGGAGGGCCAUUGGAAACUGGAGGACUUGAGUACAGAAGAGGAGAGUGGAAUUCCACGUGUAGCGGUGAAAUGCGUAGAGAUGUGGAGGAACACCAGUGGCGAAGGCGACUCUCUGGUCUGUAACUGACGCUGAGGUGGAAAGCGUGGGUAGCGACAGGAUUAGAUACCCUGGUAGUCCACGCCGUAAACGAUGAGUGCUGUGUUAGGGGGUUUCCGCCCCUUAGUGCUGCAGUUAACGCAUUAAGCACUCCGCCUGGGGAGUACGGCCGCAAGGCUGAAACUCAAAAGAAUUGACGGGGACCCGCACAAGCGGUGGAGCAUGUGGUUUAAUUCGAAGCAACGCGAAGAACCUUACCAGGUCUUGACAUCCUCUGACGGCCCUAGAGAUAGGGAGUUCCCUUCGGGGACAGAGUGACAGGUGGUGCAUGGUUGUCGUCAGCUCGUGUCGUGAGAUGUUGGGUUAAGUCCCGCAACGAGCGCAACCCUUGAUCUUAGUUGCCAGCAUUCAGUUGGGCACUCUAAGGUGACUGCCGGUGACAAACCGGAGGAAGGUGGGGAUGACGUCAAAUCAUCAUGCCCCUUAUGACCUGGGCUACACACGUGCUACAAUGGAUGGAACAAAGGGCAGCGAAGCCGUGAGGCCAAGCAAAUCCCACAAAACCAUUCUCAGUUCGGAUUGCAGGCUGCAACUCGCCUGCAUGAAGCCGGAAUCGCUAGUAAUCGCGGAUCAGCAUGCCGCGGUGAAUACGUUCCCGGGUCUUGUACACACCGCCCGUCACACCACGAGAGUUGGUAACACCCGAAGUCGGUGAGGUAACCGAAGGAGCCAGCCGCCG
rnacentral:rRNA from 1 species